AUUGAACGCUGGCGGCAGGCCUAACACAUGCAAGUCGAGCGGCAGAAGGGGGCUUGUUCCUGGCUUCAGCGGCGGACGGGCGCGUGAUGCUUAGGAGUCUGCCAGGUGGUGGAUGCUAGCGUCUGAACAGGGGCGAUACUACCGCAUACGUCGUGAGGGCGCAAGUGGGGGAUCAUUGGAGCUGAAGCUAUCAGAUGAGAGUAGGUUGCUUUGUCUAGUUGGGUGGGUAAUGGCGUACCAAGGCGACGAUCCGAAACUGGGCUGAGGGGAUGAUCAGUCACACUGGAACGGAGACACGGUCCAGACUCCUACGGGAGGCAGCAGUGGGGAAUAUUGGACAGUGGGCGAAAGCCUGAUCCAACCAUGCCGCGUGUGUGGAAAAGUUCCUCUGUUUUUAAAGCACUUCAAGUUGGGAGGAAGGACAGUAAGUUAAUACCUUGCUGUUUUGACGUUACCAACAGAAUAAGCACCGGCUAACUUCGUG
rnacentral:rRNA from 1 species